CGGCUAACUCCGUGCCAGCAGCCGCGGUAAUACGGAGGGUGCGAGCGUUAAUCGGAAUUACUGGGCGUAAAGGGCAUGCAGGUGGUUUGUUAAGUCUGAUGUGAAAGCCCGGGGCUCAACCUCGGAAUAUCAUUGGAAACUGGCAAACUAGAGUGCUGAAGAGGGGGGUGGAAUUUCACGUGUAGCGGUGAAAUGCGUAGAGAUCUGAAGGAAUACCGGUGGCGAAGGCGACCCCCUGGACAGAUACUGACACUCAGAUGCGAAAGCGUGGGGAGCAAACAGGAUUAGAUACCCCC
rnacentral:rRNA from 1 species